UUGGUUAGACGAACGUUAUGUGCAUAACAAAGUUAUAAUCUUCGUUUAAAAUCCAUAUCUCCAGAGACGGGUUACAUUGCAUCAGUAACUGGAAAUAUUCUCAACUUUGUGAGUUCUGUGUCCUACACUUUGCUUUCCUUUGUAAAUAUAAGUAUGAGAUUUGCAGCAAAAUUGCUAUCAAUUUCCAUUCCGAUGCAUUGAUUAUAGUUUCUCAUAGUUAACAUAAAAGUUCGUAUUAUUGGCAGUACCAAUAAUAAAUAUAUAUGCUUGAAGCCCAUCCAAUGAAAUCGUUCUAUUAGAGGCCAAGGUUAACUUAUACACCUGCAUGUGAUCCCAUGAGACUUGGUUUCAGUGUGAUUUUUGCUCUAUCCGAAUUUACUAAUUAACACAUUGGUGAAAAUGGCUGUUUUAUAUAUGUGUGGCGGAUGUUGGUACUCAAAAGCGAAAAACAAUCUCCUUAAAUACAAUCUCCUUGUCGAAAAUCCACUGAAAAAUAAUGGCUGUACGAUUUCAUGUAUGAGAACCCGAGCGAAAAAAAGACAGAAUCGAAACUGAAAAGG